ACGUGGCCUCCUCACUUCUCCGUGGCUUUCGCCUCUGGGGACGGGACUGGGGGAGACAGGCACUUCCCAAGGCGGAGGUUCUGAGGUCGGGAAGUGGGCCCCAGGUAUCCUAUAACCCUCAAGCUCCCCAAGAAGGCUGUUCUAACGUUUUAACCUAAGGGGAGAAAUGCCUGGAAACAAAAGGAAGAGACACCACCCAGUAAAAGCCACCCUCAACAUGAUAAAAAGAUGUGUGCGAUUGAAUGCUAUAUCCUUUUCUUUAAAAAAGGAACAUCAAGUGUCCCUCUGCUGCCACGCCUCCCAGAGACUUUUUGCAGGGAGGAGAGAGGUCUUAAGAACCAAACAGGAAAUCUAAUGCUCUGUGGAGAACCCUCUGAGCAAUGGAUUUGCACACUUUAAACCAGCGGAAAAUCUGCACACAGAGGUAAACAGAAAAAGGAGUUGGCAAAGCCCAAGCCCCUCCCGAGGCCAGAGGUGUCCCUGCCAGGGUUGAGGACAGAGGCAUCCCUGUCCUGUGCUCUGGGGUGGGCCACACUCCCGUGGGGACGUUCCCAGCCACCCCAUGCACUUGUUCAGGCAUCUGCCCUCCCCAUAGGAGGAAGGCCACCCAACAGGUCACCCUCUGCCACGUGCCUGCCCUACUCAGUGCGAUGUGCACAGUAGGUGUUCAAGGUAAUGAGUAAUGCAGGCCCCUUGGAGACAUCUGGCCAACACAGAAGGUAUCACAUUUUCAAUUUUGAAAAGCCAAAGUGAAUGUCAUGUUUCCAUAUGUUCACAAAAAAAAAAUGUAUUCACACAUGUUCCUGGCAGUGUUUUCCAUAACAUCCAAAUGUUCAUCAAUGAAUGAAUGGAUAAACAAAAUGUGGUAUAUCCAUACAAUGGAAUAAUACUCAGCCAUGUACAGGAGCAAAACCUUGAUACCUGUUACAACAGGGAUGAGCCUGGAAAACACGCAAAGUGAAAGAAGCCAGACACAAAGAACUAUAUAUAAUGUGUGGCCCCAUUUAUAGGAAAUAUCUGGAACAAGCAGAUGGAUAGGGAAAGGAGGUAGAUUCAUGGUUGCCAGGAGCUAGGGGAGGGCAGGAAAGGAAAACCAAGGCACAGGCUGCCCUCCAUGCUCUCACUUCUCUACGGCUGUCACUUCUGGGGACCAGGACAGAUCCAGAGACAGACGCUACCCAAGGGAAGGAGGAAUGGGGCAACAGCUAGUGGACACGGGGUUCCUUUUCGUGUGAAGAAAACAUUGUUGAAUUAGACUGAUGGUUGCACAAACUUUGUGAAUAUACGAAAAGCCACUUAAUUGUAUACUUUGGGUGAAUUCUGUAAUAUGUGAAUUAUAUGUGAACAAAAUACAGUGUUUUUAGUGAAACUAACGUUUCUCAUCUGAAUUAGAAUAUAUGUGCCAGCUCCAUCUGUACUAAGGAAAUAUCUUCCAGGGCCGGAGUGCCGUUUAGAAUAAAGAUGUGUCCAGUGCCUGUGUAAAAGCACAGGGCUCCGCACAGGUGUGAACAAGACAGAGCCCAGCAGUGGGGGAAGGGCCUGGUGUGGGGAAUCGAUUCCCAUUCAGGGAGCAUAACUCUGUUUCCCAACAUUAUUACCCUUUUCAAUCUCCAUGGAGGCAUUUUUAACUCCUGGUUUUUCAGGCUGCAUAAAGAAGAAAAGGAAUGUUCUAAGGCAGAGACGCUUUAAAGACAUCACCAAGAUUAAUGUAAACACUGGAAUCCCCAAAAGCACAGCCCUUGAACACAGCAUGCUGGAUUAUGUGUCUCCUAUAAAACCGUCCUAUUUCCACAUAGGGGUUCCCAAAUGCCAAGGUGUACUGGGACCAGAAGGCCAUCGUGUCCUCAUCUGACCUCCUUCUUGCCACGGCAGCCCCCAACCCAGCCCUGGGCCUCCCCCCUCACAGCCCCAUGCCCAGCUGGCACUCCUUGGCCUGGAACUCCUCAACGCCUGCUGCUCAGCCUCCAGGGGUACAGCCUCUACGGCCACCUCCCAACCAUCUCCCCAGGGCGCCCCUCCUCUCAAAUCUGCCAGCGCCUCAUCUGCUCCUCUUGUCAUCGGAUGGAGUGCCUUCUCCAUUUUGACUAUUUUAUUAACUUUUCCAUGUCCCGCUUCAUUCCCGCAAGACCUCAAGUCAGUGUGAUAGCAAAUGUGGCUUCUGCACCAGACACGUGCCAACUGCCAUCCAGAUACCAGGCCCCGGGCUGCCAGGAUGGAGACUGUCACUUCCCUUGGCAAGGGACCCACUGCCGGGUGGGCAGGUAUGUCACCCCACCUGAUACCCCCACCAUGAGCGCCUAUGAGAACCAGUAGCUUCCCCGCCUCUCAGUAUCACCUACUGUGUCCAGGUAGGAGAACACUGGGAGCCAGGGGCAGAUUCCAAACCAUGUUGAUGGCGAGCUUCCACAGCACGCCACACCUUCACAUAAGACACCGUGCUCACACUACGCUUGUCCUACAGAUCAUUCCCGCCAGCUGGCAUUUUGCAAAUACACAGGAAAGGCGAAUCACCGAUGUUGGUGGACUCUGGGGUGGUGAGGAAGGGGAGCAGUCCCCUGGUGAACACGGGGCUCGGGCACGUGGCAGGUGUUCACUAUCAUGGUGCCACAGCAAAGCCAGGGCAUGGCCUGGAACCCAGUCCUUGGGGUUGUACAUACCAAAUGCCAGCUUCCCUGGGCAGUGGGCAUGUGAAGCUGCAGCCCAAUACCCUCCGUGGUGUCUGCCGGUGACACGUUUCUCUCCCUUACAGGGUAUUAAGACUCAGUGGACUUCUGAAACAAUCACCACCCUAGCCUAUGGCCUGUUUACAGUCUUUAGUUUGGGACAGGCCACAGCCUGAUGCCAAGCAUGUGGUAAAGCAGUCUCGAUGCCACCUGUCCUGAAGGCUGUUCCAUCGUAAGAGCCCUGGAGGAGCCGCCACCCUCAGUCCCACACCAUCUCCUGGACCCACUCCAAGCUGUUUUCAGAAGCACGUCCUACUCAAUCAGAAACUCAAAAGUCCGGAGUGUGAUCCCGCUCUACCCCCGACUCUCCUCCCUGCAGCACCGAGAAGGACCAUCGCAAGGGUGAGGCACAUGGGAAUACAAAGAACCAGUAUGGAAGCGCUGGACAUGUCAUUUGUGACUCAUUCUUUUAAUUCACCGUGCUAAUCAACUGAACCGCCACAGCCUCCCAAGGUAAUUGUGUCUUUAUAGGAGUUGAAAGCAGCAGGCAAAAGGGCCUGGAUGGAUGGGGCCUGGCCUGCCUUCCCCUUCCCACUCGGGGUUGACUAAUAGGGUCUGGUUCAGAAAAAUCUGGUGUUUCUCAGAUCACUGUAAACAGAUCAUUGAGGCCCUUUGCAAAGCCCCUCCCAGCCUCUGGCGGGCGGCCCCUCCUCUGAGCACAGGUUCAUUAGCCCUCCGCCUGGCGGCCCCAGCCGGCCUCACGUGGGGAAGGUUAAAUGUGAGGGUGUCCCGGCAGCCUCCGGGGCUGGGGGACACUGAUGGGAACCAGACGCCCAGGGGACGGUGCCUACGUCGUGACAUGCAAAGGGGCUGGCUCAGUUUUCAGCGGGGGAGUGCAAUUCCCGGUGAUUACCUCAUUGUCCCCAUCAAUUUUGGGGCAAUGCAAAUCAGACAGAAGCUUCCAGGUCAGACAGGUCAUGACCCUACCUUUCCUCUGCUCCCCAGCCUGUAGAGCCUGUAUCCCUUACAUCACCUUUGAAAUGGAUAUUCCUGUUAAUGACUGGGGUGUGGGGGAGCCAAUAGGUUAACCUCCAGCCAGGAAAGGCUGGGCUGUGGCAAGCAUCACCAAACACCCACUCAUGGGAGCAUGUCUCGAUGGAGGAAAUCCCUGAAGCUUCGGGCAGCCAGGACCCUGAGCUUGUGCCUGAGAAGCCCAGUCAGCCCCAGAGUGGGCACAAUAUGGGCUGCAGAUAUAGAAGGUGGGCACUUGGACAGGCUGGGUGGGGGCUGGAACUAAGGGGUCCACUGGUCCCUUAGUAGGAGGAUAUGAGACCUGGAGAGGAUAUCCCUGGCCAAGGAAGGCAUCCUACCUGGCUGGAGGGCAACAGGAACAGGCUACAGACAGGAGAGAGCUGCCCCCUCCCUGCACCAGCCCCAGAGCAGCAAAAGCAGGGCCCGGCCAUGCUGGGAAUUGGGGGGACGCUGACAUCACAGGCUCCGCCACACCAUGUGAUACCUGCCAGCCAGUGACAGGCAGCUCCUCCCACCCUACACAUCCGCAACUGUCUCCAAAUGCACAGCCCAAGGCCUUUCUCUGCAGCACUGGGGACAGAAUCCCCAGGAGACAGCAGGCAAAGUGCAAAGAAAGGACUGGACCUUUCAGCAAUCUUCUUUCUUAAAAAAGUCUCAUUUCUAACAAUAGCUGUGCAGACUUCCCCACCAAAAAGCCCACAUAUGCAAAGAUCUGAACUCAUGAAAGGAUCCACUGAAGGCAUCCACUAAAGCAUUCAUCCGGGAUGGGCUGACAGUCCAGUGUAAGAACAGGGGGCUUAUUCAUCCAUUUUUGUGCAGAGGAAGUCAGUCUUGCCACAUGCAAACACAUGUCACUUUCAUGUCACAAACCAGGACCCCGCAGCAGACACAGGCACCUACACAGGAGCCCACCCCUGCCAUGUGCCCGCCGAAGCUCAGGUGCUGCUCCAUGGCUCACAAGCAAUAAUCAACACCCGCUUUCCUAAGGAGCUCAGGACUCGAGCAGAGUCCCACAGAACCCAGCCGAAGUUCACCCUCAGUGACUUUCCACAGGAAGGACCAUUUAUGGAGUGCCUGCCAUGUGUUAGACACUGUACAUAAGUCAUCCCCGAUCCUUGCCAAAACCUUGCCAGAUAGAGCAGAGGAGAAAUUGGGACCACAGGAGUAAGCAUAUGCCCAGGUCCCAGUCUGUCUGCAAACACCAGGUCUUUGCACGGGGCCUACAGCCUCUACAGCCAGAUGUGCCAAGGGACUCAGGGGCAUGUGGUACACAUACCAACAGUUUGCACAGGAGGCAUGUGGAAAUGUGCACCGUGUGGCUUCAGCACACACCGGCAAGGUGCCAGAAAGGACCCCCCAGCCCACGGUGGGAUUCUGACAUCUCGCCUUUCCCAGGUACCUGGGGCCUACAGAUGCUGCACUUUGUUGCACAGCAAAAGUUCUUAAUUGUUGAAGUGUAUAUAAGUGUUUAAAAGGUUCCCCAAUUUUUUGAACCCCAUUGUGACAUGUCUUUAUUUUUUUAAAACACUGGGAUUCCAAAACCUAGAGGAGCAGCCCUCUCUCCAUCUCAGAGUCUUACAUGGAAGCCAAGAGGUGUCCGGACAUCAGCUCUUUGCUAUGCCCACCUCCCCUGUGGUCUUCUGGCAGCUCCUGAGCGCCUGGUCCUGUGUGUGCUGGUCCCACAGAAGGUGGCCCCUAGUGUGGGGCAGGCACUGCCUCUCCCAUCCUAACCACAUGGAGAGUGCUGAGCUGUCGACUGGACACCUCUGGGACAGCAGCCCUGGCCUGCCACCAAGACCCAUCCAGGCACACCCUGGGGUGACGCUGGGCCUGAUGUACAGUGGGCAGCGGCAGGAUUUAUAUCUUGCCUUUCUUGCUCACUCCGUCCUUCCUAAGAAGGGAAGAGGCUGAAGGACGUCUAUUGCCUCUUUAAACCUUCUGAAAGCAGAGGGGGCUUAGCAUCCUCCAUGUCACCCGCUCUCUGGACAGAGGAGAGGACUGUGUCCCAUUGGGCGUCCUUCAGGUGGUGAUGGCAGGAGUUGAAGCCCCAUCCUCUAGUCCAGGUUCCUGCUGUGGUCCUCAUGGCCACCCCAGGACACCAGGCCACAGUCACCCAGCCACUGCACAUGCAGGUCAAGCCCACAGAUAGUAAGUAUUCAUCUUGCUCACUGUCACUCGGUUCCAGCAGGCACUGUCCAUCAUUAAAAACAUCUCUCAAAUGUCACAGCCUUUGGAGUUGGCUAAGAUUAGAAAUCAAAAUGCAAACAUGCCUUAAGUUGAAGUGAGUUGUUUGUUUUGAGAUAGGGUCUUGCUUUGUCACCCAGGCUGAAGUCCAGUAGCUCAAUCAAGGUUCACUGCA
rnacentral:lncRNA from 1 species